CCCAUGGACCGAACCUACCACUUUACGCUGGGAUCGAACCUGUGACCGUAGCCCGGCAGAGAGCCUACUGCUUGGCCCGGGACCGAACCUACCACUUUCCGCUGGGAUGGAACCUGUGACCGUAGCCCGGCAGAGAGCCUACCACUUGGCCUGGGACCGAAGCUACCACUUUAUGCUUGGACUGAACCUGUGACCGUAGCCCGGCAGAGAGCCGCUUGGCCCGGGACCGAACCUGCCACUUUACACUGGAAUCAAACCUGUGACCGUAGCCCGGCAGAGAGCCUACCGCUUGGCCCAGAACCGAACCUACCACUUUACGCUGGGAUCGAACCUGUGACCGUAGCCUGGCAGAGAGCCUACAGCUUGGCCCGGGACUAAACCACUUUCCGCUGGGAUCGAACCUGUGACCGUCGCCCGGCAGAUAGCCGCUCGGCCCGGGACCAAACCUACCACUUUACGCUGGGAUCAAACCCGUGACCGUAGCCCGGCAGAGAGCCUACCACUUGGCCCGGGACCGAACCUACCACUUUUCGCUGGGAUCGAACCUGUGACUGAGCCCGGCACAGAGCCUACCACUUGACCCAGGACCGAAUCUACCACUGCUUGGAUCGAACCUGUGAUAGUAGCCCGGCAGAGAGCCUACCGCUUGGCCCGGGACCGAACAAACCACUUUCUGCUUGGAUCAAACCUCUGACCGUAGCCCGGCACAGAGCCUACCACUUGGCCGGGACCGAACCUACCACUUUCCACUGGGAUCGAACCUGUGACCGUAGCCUGGCAGAGAGCCUACCACUUGGCCCGGGACCGAACCCACCACUUGGCCAGGGAUCGAACCUUCCAGUUUCUGCUUGGAUUGAACCUGUUACCGUUGCCCGGCAGAGAGCCUACCGCUUGGCCCGGGACCGAACGUACCACUUUUCGCUGGGAUCGAACCUGUGACUGAGCCCGGCACAGAGCCUACCACCUGAGCCAGGACCGAAUCUACCACUUUGCUGUGAUCGAACCUGUGACAGUAGCCCGGCAGAGAGCCUACCGCUUGGCCCGGGACCGAACAUAUCACUUUCCGCUGGGAUCGAACCUCUGACCGUAGCCCGGCACAGAGUCUACCACUUGGCCGGGACCGAAGCUACCACUUUCCACUGGGGUCAAACCUGUGACCGUACCUUGGCAGAGAGCCUACCACUUGGCCUGGGACCGAACCUACCACUUUCUGCUGGGAUCAAACCUCUGACCGUAGCCCGGCAUCGAACCUACCACUUUCGGCUGGGAUCGAACCUGUGGACGUAGCUCGGCAGAGAGCCUUCCACUUCGCCCGGGACCGAACCUAACACUUUCCACUGGGAUCAAACCUGUGACCGUAGCCCGGCAGAGACUACCACUUGGCCUGGGACCGAACCUACCACUUGGCCCGGGAUCGAACCUUCCACUUUCCGCUGGGAUUGAACCUGUGACCAUAGCCCGGCAAAGAGCCUACCGCUUGGCCAGGGACUGAGCCUACCUCUUUUCGCUGGGAUCGAACCUGUGACCGUAGCCCGGCAGAGAGCCUACCGCUUGGCCCAGGACCAAACCUACCACUUUCUGCUGGGAUCGAACCUGUGACCGUAGCCCGGCAGAGAGCCUACCGCUUGGCCCGGGACCGAACCUACCACUUUCCACUGGGAUCAAACCUGUGACUGUAGCCCGGCAGAGAGCCUACCGCUUGGCCCGGGACCGAACCUACCACUUUCCACUGGGAUCUAACCUGUGACCGUAGCCCGGCAGAGAGCCUACCACUUGGCCUUGGACCGAACCUACCACUUUCCACUGGGAUCUAACCUAUGACCGUAGCCCGGCAGAUAGCCUACCACUUGGGCCAGGAUCGAACCUGUGAUUGUAGCCUGGCACAGAGCCUACCACUUGGGCUGGAAUCGAACCUACCACUUUUCGCUUGGAUCGAACUUGUGACCGUAGCCCGGCACAGAGCCUACCACUUUGGCUGGGAUCGAACCUACCACUUUUCGCUGGGAUAGAACCUGUGACCGUAGCCCGGCACAGAACCUACCACUCGAUCUGGGAUCGAACCUACCACUUGCGCUGGGAUCGAACCUGUGACCGCAGCCCGGCAGAGAACCUACCACCUGGGCUGGGAUCGAACCUACCACUUGCGCAGGGAUUGAAGCUGUGAUCGUUUGAUCUUGCUGUCCUUGAAAGUUUAAAACUACAGCUACAAGACAGUAUUGUUUUUAUUUUAGGAUAGGGAACUCUGCAUUGACAGAGCCAUUCUUAGAUAGAUGCCCCUAGAUAGGGAACUCUGCAUUGCCAGAGCCAUUCUUAGAUGCCCCUUUCUCUUUCAGGUAGAUAGGGAAUUAAAUUGUGUAGAUAGGGAAGAUCUCUCUGGUGAUUAUGGGAAGCAGAGAACCAGCUAGUAAUGUUACUGUGUUUGGAUUCUGGCUCAGGUUGUUAAUGUUUGAAUUUUAUAUUACAGGCAUCUGGUGAUUACAGAGAACCAGCUAGUCAUGUUACUGUGUUUGGAAUCUGACUCUGAUUGGUUAAUGUUUGAAUUUUAUAUUACAGGCAUCUGGUGAUUACAGGGAAGCAGAGAACCAACUAGUCAUGUUACUGUGUUUGGAUUCUGGCUCUGAUUGGUUAAUGUUUGAAAUUUAUAUUACAGGCAUCUGGUGAUUACAGGGAAGCAGAGAAGCAACUAGUCAUGCUGCUGGGUGUUGAUGCCUUUGCUUUCAUUGAAGUCCUCAGACAGUACAGAGGAAUGAUCCUUUGCUGUUCAUGACUGGCUCCGGCAAAGAAUGAGAAAGAGAAGAUUGAGAAUAAACCACAACUGUUGAAGAUUCUACAAGUCCUUCAGGCUAUAGAUAAAGAGGGAGAGGUCAAGGAGAGAUCAUGCAAGGAAAAGUCAAGUCGCGGCAGACAUAAAGGCCAUGGAUACAGAUGACACAUAGGAGCUAGCUUUGGUUUGUGAGUAAAUUUGACCUUGAGGACCUGUUAUCACACAUGGCAGUUACUUAAUGGCAAACAAGAAGUAUCAAUUGUGGGACGGUACAUUCAGGAAACAGGAAAGGAUAUGAGGAAGUACAUGUUCUAGUACCACAACCCUUCGAUUCAGAUGAGUCAUUGGUGAAUAUAGACAGAUUACCAAAGUAUGCACAGCCAGCUUUUGAGGGUUUCAAAUCAUUAAAAAGAAUACAGAGUUGCUUGUUCAAAGCAGCUAUGGAAACUGAUCAAAACGUUCUUCUCUAUGUUACUACAAGGCUGAAGUGAUAUAAUAUGAAGGUUGAGGAGUUGACAGGAGCUCUUAGGUAAACAAGGAACAGAUAAAUGCCACACAGAUCGUUGUUUGCACGCCAGAGAAGUGGGAUAUCAUCUCUAGGAAAGAAGGGGAGAGAACUUAUACACAACUUGUCAGAUUAAUGAUCUUUAACCAUACGAAACAUGGAAACUACACAAGAAGAUGUACGACUUGUUGGUCUCGGUGCCACACUACCAAACUACGAGGAUGUAGCAACCUUCCUGCGCUUGGAACCCUCUGAAGGUCUGCUCUUUUCCGACGACAGUUUCCGAACCUGUACCACUAGAACAACAGUUUAUCGAUAUAACUGUGUGGAAACCGAUGAAGAGGUUCGAGAUAAUGAAUGAGAUUGUAUAUGAAAAGGUUAUGGAACAUGCAGGCAAUAAUCAGAUCAACAUUGAGAGUGGAAUUGACAAUUACACCAGACUUUCAGCAGGAUGAGAAGGUGCAUGGUUCAUCAGAAGCUUUCUGGAUCCUGGUUGAAGAUGUGGACAGUGAAGUUAUACUGCGUCAUGAAUACUUUCUUCUCCAGAAGAUUACAUUUCUGUGCGGAAGGAUUAAAAAACUCCACCAGACUAGCGGCCAUGACA
rnacentral:lncRNA from 1 species